rnacentral:rRNA from 1 species
CAGCAGCCGCGGUAAUACGUAGGUGGCAAGCGUUGUCCGGAAUUAUUGGGCGUAAAGGGCUCGCAGGCGGUUUCUUAAGUCUGAUGUGAAAGCCCCCGGCUCAACCGGGGAGGGUCAUUGGAAACUGGGAAACUUGAGUGCAGAAGAGGAGAGUGGAAUUCCACGUGUAGCGGUGAAAUGCGUAGAGAUGUGGAGGAACACCAGUGGCGAAGGCGACUCUCUGGCCUGUAACUGACGCUGAGGAGCGAAAGCGUGGGGAGCGAACAGGAUUAGAUACCCCCGUAGUCCCUGUCUCUUAUAC